rnacentral:rRNA from 1 species
UUUCCCUCAGGAUAGCUGGCACUCGCUUGAGCGAGUCUCAUCUGGUAAAGCGAAUGAUUAGAGGCCUUGGGGCCGAAACGACCUCAACCUAUUCUCAAACUUUAAAUGGGUGAGAUCUCUGGCUUGCUUGAACGUUGAAGCCACGAGAUAUAUAUGGAUCAGAGUGCCAAGUGGGCCAAUUUUGGUAAGCAGAACUGGCGCUGUGGGA